rnacentral:rRNA from 1 species
CUUACACAUGCAAGUCGAGCGAUGAAGCACCUUCGGGUGUGAAUUAGCGGCGAACGGGUGAGGAACACGUGAGAAAUCUGCCUUCAACACUGGGAUAACUCCGGGAAACCGGGGCUAAUACCGGAUAUGAAACCUGCGGGCAUCCGCGGGUUUGGAAAGUUUUUCGGUUGAAGAUGAUCUCGCGGCCUAUCAGCUUGUUGGUGAGGUAAUGGCUCACCAAGGCGACGACGGGUAGCCGGCCUGAGAGGGCGACCGGCCACACUGGGACUGAGACACGGCCCAGACUCCUACGGGAGGCAGCAGUGGGGAAUAUUGGGCAAUGGAGGAAACUCUGACCCAGCGACGCCGCGUGCGGGAUGAAGGCCUUCGGGUUGUAAACCGCUUUCAGCAGGGAAGAAGCGAAAGUGACGGUACCUGCAGAAGAAGCACCGGCUAACUAUGUGCCAGCAGCCGCGGUAAUACAUAGGGUGCAAGCGUUGUCCGGAAUUAUUGGGCGUAAAGAGCUCGUAGGUGGUUCGUCACGUCGGAUGUGAAACUCUGGGGCUUAACCCCAGACCUGCAUUCGAUACGGGCGAGCUUGAGUAUGGUAGGGGAGUCUGGAAUUCCUGGUGUAGCGGUGGAAUGCGCAGAUAUCAGGAGGAACACCAAUGGCGAAGGCAGGACUCUGGGCCAUUACUGACACUGAGGAGCGAAAGCGUGGGGAGCGAACAGGAUUAGAUACCCUGGUAGUCCACGCCGUAAACGGUGGGCACUAGUUGUGGGGACCUUCCACGGUCUCUGCGACGCAGCUAACGCAUUAAGUGCCCCGCCUGGGGAGUACGAUCGCAAGAUUAAAACUCAAAGGAAUUGACGG